GAUGAACGCUGGCGGCGUGCCUAAUACAUGCAAGUCGAGCGAACAGACGAGGAGCUUGCUCCUCUGACGUUAGCGGCGGACGGGUGAGUAACACGUGGAUAACCUACCUAUAAGACUGGGAUAACUUCGGGAAACCGGAGCUAAUACCGGAUAAUAUAUUGAACCGCAUGGUUCAAUAGUGAAAUACGGUUUUGCUGUCACUUAUAGAUGGAUCCGCGCCGCAUUAGCUAGUUGGUAAUGUAACGGCUUACCAAGGCAACGAUGCGUAGCCGACCUGAGAGGGUGAGCGGCCACACUGGAAGUGAGACACGGUACAGACACCUACGGGAGGCAGCAGUAGGGAAUAUUACGCAAUGGGCGAAAGCAUGACGGAGCAACGCCGCGUGAGUGAUGAAGGUCUUCGGAUCGUAAAACUCUGUUAUUAGGGAAGAACAAAUGUGUAAGUAACUAUGCACGUAUUGACGGUACCUAAUAAGAAAGCAACGGCUAACUACGUG
rnacentral:rRNA from 1 species